AACAACCUAUGCAACUGGCCCCCUAUAAUGUUUGAAGGCUACUUAUGUUGUUUUUUGGAUAAGUUCCACAUUGUUACACGCUAAGGCAGCCUGAGUGAGGGGGAGCACCUGUGGAUGGGCAGGUGACAGUGCGCCUUUGAGCGACGGGUCUCCAAGACACUGCUCCGUUCCCUGACAUUGAGACCAAGGCCGACACAGAGGAUAACCCCACACCGCAGAGCCCACUGGACACCUCGUAAACGUUGUAGACAU